AGUCGAGCGGGGACACGGGGCUUCGGUUCCGUGUUCUAGCGGCGGACGGGUGAGUAACGCGUGAGCAAUCUGUCCCAGACAGGGGGAUAACAACUGGAAACAGUUGCUAAUACCGCAUAAGACCACGGCCUCGCAUGGGGCUGAGGUAAAAGUGGAAACACGGUUUGGGGUGAGUUCGCGUCCCAUUAGCUAGUUGGUGAGGUAACGGCCCACCAAGGCGACGAUGGGUAGCCGACCUGAGAGGGUGAUCGGCCACACUGGAACUGAGACACGGUCCAGACUCCUACGGGAGGCAGCAGUGGGGAAUAUUGGGCAAUGGGCGAAAGCCUGACCCAGCAACGCCGCGUGAGGGAUGAAUGUUUUCGGAUUGUAAACCUCUGUCCUCAGGGACGAAGGAAGUGACGGUACCUGAGGAGGAAGCCCCGGCUAACUACGUGCCAGCAGCCGCGGUAAUACGUAGGGGGCGAGCGUUGUCCGGAAUGACUGGGCGUAAGGGGCGCGUAGGCGGCUGUGUAAGUCUGGAGUGAAAGUCCUGCUUUUAAGGUGGGAAUUGCUUUGGAGACUGCAUGGCUUGAGUGCGGAAGAGGCAAGUGGAAUUCCCAGUGUAGCGGUGAAAUGCGUAGAGAUUGGGAAGAACACCAGUGGCGAAGGCGACUUGCUGGGCCGUAACUGACGCUGAGGCGCGAAAGCGUGGGGAGCGAACAGGAUUAGAUACCCUGGUAGUCCACGCCGUAAACGAUGAAUGCUAGGUGUAGGGGG
rnacentral:rRNA from 1 species